UUGUUUGGUGCUGAUACAACAUUGACUUUUCCCAUAAUUUAGCUUAGAGUGUUUUACACUGGGGAGUUCCAAUGUGUUUAAAUUGUAAAACUUUUUCCGAGCAUUUUUGUAGCAGAACUCCAUGUUCUAAUAGCCCCGGCAAAGUUGUUUUUAAUACUUUUUCUCUACGAAUUUUCAUUAAAAUUUAAUUCCAUUUUAACUUUGUCAAUUUUCCCCAAAGAUAAAUUAAGACACACAGAGAGAUUGUCAUUUCCUGUUUGAAGUCUCAUUCCUGUGUACAAUGUCAGUCUUUUUUAUUUAGGCCUAUGCCAUUCCAUCAGGGUAAAUAACUUUCUAACUAGUCAUUUAAGAGCAACUCCCGGGAAACUGUGAUGCAAUCCCACAUAUCAGCCAGACUUCAAAAGCUGCCAGAUUAUUGUGAAAGGAGAAACACUGUUUUCGAAGGCUGCUGAUAAUGCCUAUUAGCCAGAAGAAAGAGCCUGAAUCAUUCAAAGGUUUUCCAUCUAGUAAAGAAGUGUGGUAAAAAUCUUGCCCAGAUCUGCAUGUGCUAAGCAUCUACGUAAGUUGGAGCAUCAUAUUAAUGACACCCAGUGAAGAAACGAAAGAAUGAAGUGUAAUUACUAUAUCAAAAAUCCACAGAAUGUGAAAGUAUAAAGGAAAACUCUCAGUCACACACACAAAACAGGAAACCAGCAGUUGUAAUUUCUUCAGCAAUUCUUAAUCUGCUCAGCUAAAAACUUUGGAGUUAGACAUAUGGACAGCCCACCCCAAGGGAAGAAUCAGAGGAGAAGGGACACAAGACCCCAGAAACACACAAAGCACCUUAAUAUGCAUGCUGCAUCUCUCUAAAAUUGUGGAACCUGUUUACCUGCUCUGGAGAAUGGCUGCCUGUGGCAGACAUAGGAGUUGUCCUCAUGCUGUGCUUCCUAUCUUCCACAGUAAUUGACUUGUAGCUGCAAUACAGUUACCAACCAGGAAUACAAUUUCUCAGCCCCAUGUCUUGCACCUACAGCUAAGUGUGGCCAUGUGACCAGUUUUCACCAAUUAAGUGUGAAUAGCAACAAAGUGCACCACCUUCAAUUGGAGGCUUUGAAGAAGCAGGGCAGCCUUCCCUUGCUCUCUUUCCCCUUGUUCUGGUGGGAUACAGAUGACAAUAAGGCCCUGGGUUUUGAGGUAGCCACAAGAUGCAAAAUACCUCAGACCUGAGUCACCACAAGGAAGAGAGAAGCCCACUGACAUGGAAUACCCAGCCUAGUCUACAGAUGAAUAAGAAAUAAACUUCUAUUAUGUUCGAACAUUACAGAUUUUGUUCUGUUAUAGCAGUUUAUCUCACCCUGACUAAACUGUUGCCUAUCUUCCAAGAUAGGCCCUCCUUCCCUGAAAGUGACUUUUUCAUACAUGUAAUCUGUAUUUUAAUUCAUAUUCUCCAAAGCAUAUCCACAUCUAUUCAACUAUUUUCAUGUCUUCCAUCAAU
rnacentral:lncRNA from 1 species